UGCCUUUUCUGGGUACACUUACCUUUUGAUGACUUCCUCCUGUCCAGAACUGGGUUGUCCUUUUGUCUACAUAACUGGCGAGGUUCACAAGGAAAUCAUUCUGAGCUGCAUUGGAGAUGCUGCCAUCCACCAAUCAAGAUGGGGUAGAGAUUUCUCGUAACUAUCUUCUGCUGAGUGAGAUUGUGUGAUUUUUGUCUCUAUCCUGAGGAUACAAUGGAUCCACUUCUCUACUUCACAAAACCAUGUCAGUGGUUGGUGCAAUGCAUCGCAGCUUGCUGAUUCCUCUCUGGCUGUGCCCCUUGGAGAGACUGCAGGGGGUGCAGCAGCAUCAGACAGACAUUCUAGAUGCAUUAUACUCACCUUCCAAGCCUGGGAGAACCAGUACACCUAGCAGCAGGAACAAAAAUGGAAGGGACUUCAUUGCUACGAGACCUUGCAACACUGUUGCCUGCAAUGUGUAAAUAUCAGGACAGGAGCCUAGAAUUGAGAGAAUGUGGAAACUAUAUUUCUUAACCCAUCAGAUGAAGACAUUCCCUUCAGGACAAGGCUCAGGUCUGUUGAUGAAACAAUGGAACAGCAUAUGAAGCCUGACUCAGCUAUCCUAACUCACACUGAGAAGCAUCUAAUCAGGCGAGAUACUCACAAUGUGAGCAACAAUUGCAGAGUCCUAUCCUUCAUCACUAGGCUGUUUCUCCUGCCCUUCCGGGUAAUGUGGUAUGGGAAAAGAUGUUUGGUGUUUGUUUUGUGGUGAAGGGCAAUGUGUUAAAGGAUGAUUAUGUACAAAACCCAUAAAAUGAUGGUAAAUAAGCGCUCUGAGUAGCUUACCCACUUCUCAUUCUCACCAUAAUAUAUUUAUAAAAAUCAGUUUCUGAGCACAUACCGCAUGCCAUUUACUAUAUAGCAAAAUGUCUCUCCACUACCACUAGAUAAGUACAUUGUAAUGGUACCAAUUCAUUUAAUGAAUGGAUCUGACCUCUUCUUACUUGGUUCAUGACUCGUCUGUGAUCUGAUAAUGAUUUUCUUGAAUUUAUUCAUUACUUGAAAUUACUCACUAAAUACUUUCUGCAGAUAAUUCUCAGCCUGUAGAUUCUUUGUGAGCAGCUCAUUGAGCGUAUUAAAAAAAUGUGUUAUUUUGAUCAGACACAUAAGCCACAUUGUACGCUUCCAUUUCCUGCCUGGAUGAAGAUAAUUCUGAGAAGGAAGUUACAGAGCAUGCAUUUAAAAUUUGCUUUCCAUGAAUAUCCUGCAGUAUUCCUUGGAAAUUCACAGUUUCUGCGAACAUUCCUAUCUGUGCAUUCAUUUGCUAGAAUAUUCAUCGAAAAUAAAUAGAGAAAGUUGCUGGAUGGGACUUUCAAUUAACUUAGGGGUACAAGUCCCAUUGAAAGUCAAUAGGACUUGUGAUUCUACCUCACUUAGGUGCAUUUGAAAAUUCCUCCUGUUAACAUAGUUGAAGCACGUUUGUUGAUAAAUUUGAAGGUAUAUUUAUCGAACAUUUUUGUAGGAUUCACCUGGGUCUAUUCUCUGUUCUCUCUACCUGUAUAGGGCUGUCUAUCUGCUGUUUGUUUCUCAUAAUAGGGGCAUGCUCCAUUUCCCAGCACACCUGCAUGGUAGAAAGAGUCACUGUUCUAUUGGAAGUGCUGUUCUUCAAAAUUAAGGCAUUCUCCCAGCAACCCCAGCUGUCUGCGCACAAGUGUUUUUAUAACCACAAAAUGAUGACUGAGCAAAUGUUUCAUUUAGCUGUUCAGAGAACAUCCAGAUCCCUGGGAGAAUUAGAAUGGUCAGACCCAUCACUACACAGCAAAGAUGUAGUCGUAAAAAUCAGCAGGUUGAUGGUCAGAGGUUGCUCAAGGCACUUAGCCAACUUCCCAGAGAUCUCUCUCCCCCUCUAUGUUGCUAGGAUAUUUGUCAACAGAAUGAAAGUGACAGUUCCUGAAAGUGAAGCUGUAUUUCCAGGGGUGAGUCAGAGUUGAAUAGAAUUUGUUUUAUAUAUGAGGUCUUUCAUAUUCCAGGUAACUCAAUGCACAACAUUGUAAACUAAAUGCUAGCAACUCACUAACAGUGUAGACAAAUGUAGCAAGUGUUGUGCAUUAAGCAGCAGCACACAUAGCAGUAGAUGUUAGAAGCAGUUCUCCUAAAAGAGAGAGCAGGGGAAAUGUUGACCUAGAUUAUCCUUUAUAUGCAUAUUGGAAAAGUGCCAUGGGAUCUUUGAUUUCACCAUGGGCAGAGGUGGGGUGGGAUCACCUUGCUCUAAAUAGCUUAUGAUUUCAGGAAAGAUUUAAUUGCUAUGCCUUCCACUAUGCCUGAAAUACCUUCCAAAUCCUGCAUCCCAUGUAACCUCCCUUUCCUUCAUAUUCCUCCUCACAACUCGCCUAUUCCCACGCUCUCUCCAAUGCUGACUCCUACACCCAUGCUGCCCUUCUAAUGUAGGUAGGAUAAUAACAUUUAAAAAGCUGAUAGUGCUGUGACCCAAAGUAUAAAGGAAGCAACCUUAUUAGCUUGCCCUGCAUCAUUUCCCCUUCUAGUAUGUCAUACCAUAUCCAAUUUACAAUUUAAAUAGGCUUACUACUGCUAUAUAGCACCUUCCUCACAAUUGACUUCCUUGGAACUUUUUGUGGGGUAAGGCAUAUCCUAAUGUGAGUAAGGGUAUCAGAAUCUGACCCUUAGAUUGUAAAUUCUUUGGGGCAGGGAUUAUCUAUGUAUUCUCUCUGUAAAUAAUUAUAUACUUAAAUUAAUCCCUAGCACCAGCACUCUACAAUGGGUGAAGAGGGAUAGGAAGGUGUCUCCAUUUAAGCAUUACGGAGUGUGAGGUCUGUGUGGUUUCCAAAGUCCAGUUUGAAAGGUGACAAUUUACAAUUCACAGUUAUGAGAGCAAAGCAUUUGCACAAGAAAAAGACAAGACAGACAGAACUCUGGUUUUGGUUCUUCUCUUCCACAGGGCUGGACCCAGAGUUCAUUCCAGGUGGGCACAGUGAUCCAGUUCUUCUUUAUGCUUCUUUCCAGGGCCUCCAACCAGAGCCCAUUCCAUGUGGGUCUGGUAAUUUAGUUCUGGUUUUGUUCCUCCCCUCCAAGGAGUUGUACUGGAUAUUUGAAAGAUCAUGAAUAAUUAUUGAUAUAAAGUUUGUUUUUGUCUCAUGUUUUGCGAACCUGUCUUUUGAGAGGCUG